GAGUCAGGCGAGUGUCCGUGCUGUGUUUACAUCCCGGGGAGGGGGAGUGACGGCUGCUUGAAUAUCUGAACCGCUGCUUGUGCCGCGACCCUCACUCUUCAGCACACACCAUCACCCUGCGCAGAGAAGGGCCUGUUACACUGUCACAGCCACUCAGCAGCAACACACCAAUAGCCAUGUCCUACAAAAACAAGGUUCCGGACAGGUGGGAGAAGUACACUGACAUGGGUCGCAUCAUCCCUGGCACCAGGUUCAUCGCAUUCAAGGUCCCGUUGCGACAGGCUGUCACGAUGAAGGGGUUUGAGGUGAAAAGAACGAGUACGCUGCCGUUUGAGAAUCAUCGUUUUGACAGUCGAUGAGAAGGACUAUAAUUAUCGACAAAGCAAAUCUCGUGUUAUGAAAUAUUAAUAAACUUUUCCUGAGAUAGGUAUUCCACGUUCACUUUGUCAUUCAUACUCGUUGAUAUUCUUUAAAGAGAUAAUGCAAUGUUUUUAUUUAUUUCGCGUUUUAACCCGGUAGCAGCGACGGGCCAAAUUUGUGGCUUUACCGUGUACCAGCGACGGGGGCCAAAUUUUUGCCAUGAUAAUAAACCCCCAAAAAAGAGAUGAUGCAUAAACUGAUGACAAAUGCGUUGAUAUAUAAUAUGAAAUGGAUUGCGUGAGUGAUGAUUUUUUCUAAUUUUUCUCGCUUAGAGGAGCCUUUAAGAAACAUGAUCCCCGCAGCUACCGGGUUAAUAUUCCUUGUUUUAUGGACACGUUUUAAUAGGAGCAUCUUAUUUGCAUGUUUUUAUGUCUUGGUCUAUUUAUCUGUUAUUUAGUGCUUGCGGAUAAUGGUGGUUCUUCAUUAGAGUUGAAUAUACUCCUCCUCCUCCUCUUCCUCUUCCUCUUCCUCCUCCUCCUCCAUCAUUCUCUUCAGUGCAUGGCAACAAGCAAUCAAGAAGUGACUGGCUCAUUGCUGUUUGCCUCCGUGUGUGUGUGUGUGUGUGUGUGUGUGUGUGUGUGUGUGUGUGUGUGUGUGUGAAAAACCAGUUUGGCUAAUAAAAAUAGAGAGAAAGGCGCAGAACGUUGAGGCAUAAAAAAAGGAUGAGGGAGAAGAGAAUGAAAAAUGAGAGGAGGAAAAGCUAGAAGAGGAAGAAAAAAAGAAAAAAAGAAAGGGAUGUAGGAAGCAGGAGUAAUAAGCAUAGAGAGCGAGAAGGGUAUGGAAGAGAAGAAAGUAAGGAAGAUAACGAAAAGAGGAGGAGGAGGAGGAGGAGGAGGAGGAGGAGGAAGAGGAAUCAUAAAGCAGGUUUCCUACACUCAUCUCACACGUGCUAGAUAUUCGUAUUUUUUUUCCUCCACUUUCU